GAUGAACGCUAGCGGGAGGCCUAACACAUGCAAGUCGAACGGGAUUGGUAGCAAUACCAUGAGAGUGGCGCACGGGUGAGUAACGCGUAUGCAACCUGCCUGUAACAGAGGGAUAGCCCAUAGGAAUGUGGAUUAAUACUUCAUAGUCCUGAGAAGUCGCAUGGCUUUUCAGGUAAAACUCCGGUGGUUACAGAUGGGCAUGCGUGACAAUAGCUAGUUGGUAAGGUAACGGCUUACCAAGGCAACGAUGUCUAGGGGUUCUGAGAGGAUGAUCCCUCACACUGGUACUGAGACACGGACCAGACUCCUACGGGAGGCAGCAGUGAGGAAUAUUGGUCAAUGGGCGCAAGCCUGAACCAGCCAUCCCGCGUGCAGGAUGACGGCCCUAUGGGUUGUAAACUGCUUUUAUACAGGAAGAAAAAUCUCUACGUGUAGGGACUUGCCGGUACUGUAUAAAUAAGCAUCGGCUAACUCCGUGCCAGCCGCCGCAGUAAUAC
rnacentral:rRNA from 1 species